GUUUUUUUGUAUUCAAAUUAAUUUUUAAAAUUCAAAAUAAACUGUUGAACAUAAGCUUAGAAAGCUAAUAAUUGACCUGACACGUUUUUCUUAAAGCUGACAGAGAUGAUAUUCGCAAGUAAUAUUUAUUAAUUUUCUAGAAUGGUGAGGGCGCUGCUGAUUUUCUACAGAACUGUAAUAUUAUUGCUUUCGUUGCAAGAUUGGAUAUUUUAUACGAAAAAUUUUUGCAGGUUCGUUUCUUCGAAUUACCUCGCAUUUGAGUCUGGAAUGCUCUUUUUGGCACUUUAUAUUUUAAGAUAAGAUAAAUUUUGGACCUGUAAGCCUCAUUCAGCACUCUUAAAGAUUUUAUGAUUCACUGGUGAUAAUAAUCGUAUAGGUAUAUGUUUAAAGUAAUACUAGUUUACUAUACGGAAAGUAUACUCUCUUUACCCACAUACAGUAUGUUGUAUUCGUAACACUAAUUAGUAAAAUUUGAGCCUUAAAGUUUAGUAUUUUUAUGUAAGUUAAAUAAAAAGAAACCUUGUAAAGUUAUUGUAAGAGCAAUAAUGUUAUGAGGAUCGGAAGAGGCCUGAGAAUUCAUGGUAUUUAUGUGAGUAGCAAGUAGUCCAACGGAAAACGUCGAUUUGGUAAGAGAUUUAUCGUAAGAAUCAUAUUGACAUCGAACGAGUAAUCGAAGAGGGAAAAAGAAUAAGUAAAAAGACGAACACGACCGAAGCCAUUCCGAAGCUUUCUUUUUAAUAUCCAAGAAAAUCUUUUAGAAAGGCGGUAAUAAUGGACCAUCUGUGAAAGAGAGAAAGUACGAUAAAAGGAAGGACAACAAGCAAGACGUCUCUUUUAUCGCAGGAUGUCGCUUUGACUCUGGCGUCACUCAUUCUAGAAAAUGUGUCUCGGCCGAAUCAACGACACGUCAUUAUUAUGUAAAUGGAUUAAUAUCACCGCUGAAAAUCGAACUACACAGGAUCAAGAUGGUUGGCGUCGAUUCAAGCCAGCCUUAGGCCUUUUGCUAACUACUUUUGCUCUCAUUACUAUUGGUGCCGUUGCUGACCUUGUUAUCGGGUCUCUUGUAAUGCCCUUCUCAAUUGUCAUGGAACUAACUGAUAACGUUUGGUAUUUUGGAAGAGAUUGGUGCGAUGUCUGGCACAGUUUUGAUGUUUUAGCAAGCACGGCGUCUAUUUUAAAUCUUAGUGUUAUAUCUUUGGAUCGAUAUUGGGCCAUUACAGAUCCGAUAGCUUAUCCAGGAAAGAUGUCGACAGGGAGGGCAUUGAUACUCAUCGCUCUAGUCUGGAUUUGUUCGUCAGCAAUCUCGUUUCCGGCCAUUUUGUGGUGGAGAGCAACUGUUCCCGAACCUAUUGAAGUCGACAAAUGCGCUUUUACAGAAGACGUAUAUUAUCUCAUCUUCUCAUCGAUAAUUUCAUUUUACUGCCCCGUUUUUAUAAUAAUGUUUGCUUAUUACAAGAUAUAUGUAGCAGCAUGUGAACAAACUAGAAGUUUAAAAUGUGGUUCGAAAGUACUAGUUAAUGAUGGGCAAUCAGGUGAAACAAUGACGUUAAGGAUGCACAGGGGUGGAGCUUAUAGAUAUGCUGAAACCACCGACUCAGAUUCGGAAUGCCCUAAUUCCCCAGCUCACUUGAUCAAUCCAAAUAAUUGCUAUACACAGCAUAUUCGACCUCCAAGAAUGGUCUCAAGGAAAUGGAAGCAUUUUGCCUUGAGUCGAAAACUAUCUAAACUUGCUAAGGAGCAAAAGGCAGCUAAGACUUUGGGUAUAGUUAUAGGGGUCUUUUGUAUAUGUUGGGUGCCAUUUUUUGUCCUAAAUGUCCUUACAGGUCUAUGCAGCAAUUGUAUCAAACACGGUGAAAUUCUGUUUCCUGUCUUCACUUGGCUAGGUUACAUUAAUUCCGGAAUGAAUCCAGUUAUCUACGCAUGUUCAAUGAAAGAUUUUAGAAGAGCGUUUUCAAAAAUUUUGUUUCAUUGGUGUCCAAAAAAUAGACUGAGAACUAGACGAAAUAAUCGUUAUAACGCUCCAUUAUCAAAUUCCAGUUUUAGCGUUAACUAUUCUGAUCAUCGCUCGAAUUCCGUUGUUAGGCUUUGAUAUUUCUAAAUACUUCGUAAAUGCUUAUAACCGUGCUUAAAUAGAAGUAUACCAUUUUAAAAAGUAAACGGAUUUUAGAGAUGUUAAAAUGAAAUGUUUGUAUACAUUCUAAACUCAGUAAAAUAUUAUUCUUGCAUAAUACGCCAACAGAUUUUAGAUAAAUUUUUAUUUGAAGGCGUAUUGCGGAGAUAGAUCUACCUAAAACUAGAGUCUUUUAUAUUAUCAUCUAUCCAUAUAAAGAAUGAAUAAUAAGUUAUCUGAUCAAGUUAUUCACUUAUAUGAAUGAAAUAUAGUUGAUAAAUUUAAUAACAAGAAAAAAAGUUCGCUGAAAAUGGUAAACAUUACAUAGCUUAUUAUUAUUGCAAGAAGCAAGGAGAGCAGCAAAGGAUCCGUAUAACAUUUGAAAAACAUAAACAUGGAUGCCACUGAUAUGUUUAAGUGCGUGCCAGGGAUAAAUAAAGGCUCACAGCUGCUUAUCGAACGAAAGAAAAACUGUUGGAGACACUAAUCUGACUUGUGGGGCGGCUUUAUGACAUUUUGUAUGUCAGACACCCAAAUUUUUAAAUAAGGUUAUUCUUGAAACAUUGAAAAUUUUAAUUUCUUCAACAAGAAGUUGGAAAGGUUGUCAUAUGGAUGAGUUGGUAGAAUAAUAUAUUAAAGUAUUUAUGAUCCGAUAUCUAAAUAUAACUGUCUUAAGUUUUUACAACAUUUGACUCCUGACUUUGUAUGCUAUAUAUAUGAGAGAAAAUUAAAGGUUAGUAAGUUUGUUUUUCAAUAUAAAUAAUAUAAAAACUUAGUCUUUCGCUUCUUGAGAUGGCAUAUUUCAGUAAGAAAAACUAGUACUUUAUCUGAACAAGUCAAAUUAAUGUCAGAUGUGCUGUAUUAUCAGAUUGAAAAAAUCAGAACGCAACGCAUUCAGUGCGUUAUUUUACUUACAGAUGGCAGCGCCAUCUACUUCACUUCACCAACUAUAAAUGCGGAUAAGCCUUU
rnacentral:misc_RNA from 1 species